AAUUUUUAGAGAGUUUGAUCCUGGCUCAGGAUGAACGCUGGCGGCGUGCCUAACACAUGCAAGUCGAACGGAACUAUUUUGGAAACUCCUUCGGGAGCGGAAUCUUUAGUUUAGUGGCGGACGGGUGAGUAACGCGUGAGCAAUCUGCCUUUAAGAGGGGGAUAACAGUCGGAAACGGCUGCUAAUACCGCAUAAAGCAUCAAAU
rnacentral:rRNA from 1 species